rnacentral:RNase_P_RNA from 1 species
GGAGUGGGCCGGAUGGCCGCUGUGGUCCCUUUUGGGACCAUGGAGGAAAGUCCGGGCUCCACAGGGCAGGAUGCCGGGUAACCCCCGGCGGGGGUGACCCCAGGGAUAGCGCCACAGAAAGCAAACCGCCGGCCGGAGCAGCCCAUUCGGGUUGCGCAGCCGGCAAGGGUGAAAGGGUGCGGUAAGAGCGCACCGCGCUCCCGGUAACGGUAGCGGCAGGGCAAGCCCCAUCCGGAGCAAGACCGCAUAGGGGGGCGUUUGAAGACGGCCCGUCCAGCCCCCGGGUAGGUCGCAAGAGAGUGCCGGCAACGGUACUCCCAGAGGAAUGGCCAUCCCCUUCAACCAGGGACAGAACCCGGCUUACAGGCCCACUCCAGCC